rnacentral:lncRNA from 1 species
CGACCCGCAGAAGGCGGUGGACCAGCCGCGCCAGAGUCUCGCUCUGUCACCCAGGCUGGAGUGCAGUGGCAGGAUCUUAACUCACUACAACCUCUGCCUCCUGGUUUCAACUGGGUUCAAGUGAUCCUUCCACCUCAGCCUCACAAGUAGCUGGGAUUUCAGCUCUUCUGGGAGAAGAAGCUGAGCGGCCUGAACGCCUUCGACAUUGCUGAGGAGCUGGUCAAGACCAUGGACCUCCCCAAGGGCCUGCAGGGGGUGGGACCUGGCUGCACGGAUGAGACGCUGCUGUCGGCCAUCGCCAGCGCCCUGCACACUAGCACCAUGCCCAUCACGGGACAGCUCUCGGCCGCCGUGGAGAAGAACCCCGGCGUAUGGCUCAACACCACGCAGCCCCUGUGCAAAGCCUUCAUGGUGA